ACCAGAAUUCCAGUCAAAAAUUAAUAAUGCUACUUAGCAUGGGGCAUGUUCUGCUGUUAGUUGUUUUUCUAGCUUGAUAAAAGUUAAUUUUACUGAUAUAAAGAUUCUUAAUUAAGCUAGAAUGAUAUAAUGAUGGUUCUUUUUGAGAUGUUAUCUGUUGUAAGAUUAUCAUAAUUAAUCUAAAUUAAUAUUUCAUCUUUGAAUGCCUCCUAAAGACAGUUAAUUUUCUUUUGGAUAGUAUAGUUGCUGAGAAUAAUCUUAUAAAUUAUAUGAGGAAAGCCGAAGGUGUAACCUCAAUGGAUCCUUUUUUUAAAAAAGGUUGGCUAUGUAGGGAUGAUUGAAUUACCACAAAAAGAAGCUUGGAUAAAUGUCCUAUCCUUUCUGAGUUGGCUGUGAAUAUCCUAAGCAUAAAUCAUUUGGAAAGCAUUGAGAUCAAUGGAGAAGAAACUUUUGAGAAUGCCUCAAUUAGUAAGGAAGCUAACAGACGGGCUGCAAAUUGUGGUAUUGAUUCCAGUGGACCAUGGAGCUGUCUUCAUGAUGCUAUUGGAGCUUUUAGUUGUGACAGGUUAUCUGGGAACCAAUUCUUGUUCAACUUGACACUUGAUGUAAAAUUCAUUUCUGAUCUGGACCAAGCCUUGAUUGGAACUUCCUUUCUUUUACUGCAUGCUUUCGAGAACAUGUUCAAAUGCCAAUGUGGGAGAUUGGUAUCAUCAUCUCUUCAUCCUUCAGUACCAUUUCCACCUCUUCCUUCCCAGCCCAUGAGAAAAUACUCGUUUGAGUUGGUGAUGAACUCUUACCUCGUGAAAAAGCCUUGUGUGGGGAUGCAGUGUGGUAAGGUCUCCAUGUGUACAAUGGGAAAAAGUCUUUAAGCUUAAUGACAGAAUUUUCUUCUGGUCAAUGCAGUACUUGCUAAAUGGAAACCACAGGUUAUGACGAAUACAGGAGGAUUAAGAAAUUGGCUUUUUGAAAAGCUUAAUUCUAUUGAGAUAUCGAACUAUCUCCGGGUGGAAUUGAAAUUCUUAUCCUAUUAGACUUCUCAAUAUUGUCUAGUGAUCUUGGCUUUCUGAUAUCAUCGACAUAUCCUCGGGCUAUAUUAUUCUAUAACAGCCCCUGGGCUAGGCUCUUUUCACAAAUAUCCCUAGCAGAUUGGUUUUCUCAACUUAUUGGUAUUUUAUCCUCAGAAGUGACUUGUCUCCUAGUCUUAUUGGUAUUUUCAAUAUUAUACCUUAUUGAUCUGCUCGGUUGGGACAUUAUUGGACUUCUGGUAUUCUUGGUUUUCUGGUUAUCAUCCUCCACUCCAAGGGAUCAAACUCCUUUCCUUGGUCGGGACAUGAUUGGACUUCUGGUAUUCUUGGUUUUCUGGUUAUCAUCCUCCUGACCAAGGGAUCAAACUCCUUUCCUCGGUCGGGACAUUAUUGGACUUCUGGUAUUCUUGGUUUUUUGGUUAUCAUCCUCCUGACCAAGGGAUCAAACUCCUUUCCCCGGUCAGGACAUUAUUGGACUUCUGGUAUUCUGGUUAUCAUCAUCCCGACCAAGGGAUCGAACUUCUUUCCCUGUUGGAAUAUUAUUGGACUUUUGGUAUUCUUGGCUUUCUCAUUAUUAUCCUCCCGACAUAGGGAUUGAGCUCCUCUCUCCAGUCAGGACACUAUUGAUAUGUUGUAUUGGGAUAUUAGUGGACUUCUGGUAUUUCUGGUUUUCUAGUUAUCAUCCUCCCGACCAAGGGAUCAAACUCCUUUCGUCAGUCGGGACAAUAUUGGACUUCUGGUAUUCUUGGCUUUCUUGUUAUUAUCCGCUUGAUAUAAUGAGCUCCUCCCAUCGGUCUGGAUGGAUCUUCUUAAUGGUGGUCGUGAGAUCAAGCUCCCUUUCUUAGUUGGAUUAUAAUUCUGGUACAUAUAGAUAUUAUUAUUUUUCUCCCGGUCCAAAUGAAAUGGAUAUUCUUGUAUUAUGGCUUAUUCUUAUUCUUAGCGUGGGAUCGAGUCCUUUCAUCUCGGUCCACUGAAAUGGAUAUUCUGGUAUUCUUAACAUUUUUAUUAUUUUCCUCACAACCAAGGAUCUAGUUCCUCUCACUGGUUAGGGCAAGAUGGGAAAAGAGGGAUUCCUUUUGAUUUUUUUACUCCAAGGUGUUCUAGAUAUCCUAAUGAUGUAUGAUACAUUUUCAACAUCAUGUCAAUCAAUUGUUAUCCGAAUAUUUGGUCGUUAUUGGUCUUCUGGUAUUCUUUUCUUUUUGGUUAUUAUUAUCCUCCAGACCUCGGGAUUGACCUCUUCUCAAUUAGGAUGGAUCGGAGUUUUGGUCUUCUUAAUAUUUUUACUUGUCCCAUGAUCGUGGUAUUCAGCUCUUCUCUCCAAUCACAUUAUAUUGGACUUCUGGUAUUCCACGCUUUUUGCUUAUCAUCUUCCCAACCAAGGAUCAAACUCCUCUUCCUCGGUUAGAACUGUGUUGGACUUCUGGUAUUCUUGUUAUUCUUAUUAUGUUCUUCAUUUCUAACUUUUUUCACUAUUAGCUAUGAGUUUCAGUGUUUUGUUCUUAAGACUUUGCUUUUAGCCAUAUGCUUGUGUAAUGUAGGCUUCUCUUGUUUUCACAAGUUCCAUAUCUAGUAUCUUCUUUAUUUGUUCGAGAAUGUUCAUGUAUUUUUGAGAAUUCUACUAUAUUCAUAUUUUGUACACUUUUGUGUUGUAGUUCAAUCAAGUUACAAUCAAAUUAUGAGGGAACUAUGUCAGAAAUUUUCCUUACUCUAGGGUUCUUUUACUUUUAUUUAUUAACAUGAUUUGAUGUUUGCUUACUUGUAGAUUGAGUCUAUUUAGACUUCAAGGUAGUAAUCAAUAAAAAUAUCAUUAGUUAGCUUCAUUGAUAGUAUUCAUGAGUUUCUAAAUGACUAUAUAUAUAUAUAUAUAUAUGACAAGCUUAUUAUUCUCGUUAUUCUUAUUAUGAUCACGAUUUCUAGCUUUUCACUAGUGGCUAUGAUAUUCAAUGUUUUGUUCAUUGGGCUUUGCUUUUAGCCAUAUGCUUGUGUAAUGUGGGCUUCUCUUGUUUUCACAAGCUCCUCUUCCCUGUUGAAUUAUAAUCCAUAUUCACAUAUUCUUGGAAUUCUUUUGCUUAUCAUCUUCAUGGCCGUGGAAUCGAGCUCCUCUCUUCGGUUGGAUUAUAAUCGGUAUUCGGGUAUUUCAUGCCUUAUUCAUGGCCGUAGCAUUGAACUCUCUCCCCGAUCAGAUUAUAAUUAAUAUUUAGGCAUUCUACGCAUUCUUUUAUUUAUUAUCUUCUUGGGUAUUGAGCUCUUCUUGGUCGGUAUUUAUAUAUUUUGGGCCCACUCUUGGAGAAGCAAAUUGUUGGUGUUUGCUCAAAUUUGGUAACCUAUUCUCUCUUUCUUACUUGUCUUUUAAUUUAUACUGCACUCAUCAAUUGAGACUAUGAUAAGUCUUGCUCAUUUCUUUUGCUUAUCAUCUUCAUGGUCGUGGAAUCGAGCUCCUCUCUUCGGUUGGAUUAUAAUCGGCAUUCGGGUAUUUCAUGCCUUAUUCAUGGCCGUAGCAUUGAACUCUCUCCCCGAUCAGAUUAUAAUUGAUAUUUAGGCAUUCUACGCAUUCUUUUAUUUAUUAUCUUCUUGGGUAUUGAGCUCUUCAUGGUCGGUAUUUAUAUAUUCUGGGCCCACUCUUGGAGAAACAAAUUAUUGGUGUUUGCUUAAAUUUGGUAACCUAUUCUCUCUUUCUUACUUGUCUUUUAAUUUAUACUGCACUCAUCAAUUGAGACUUAGCAUCAAUUGAGACUAUGCUAAGUCUUGCUCAUUUCUAACCCCAUCUCUUUCUAGUUGGGCAUACCAGAUAGUUGUUGCUUUUUGAGCAAAUAGUUAAUGUUCUAUCAGUGUCAUGUAAAGUUCGACCAUUUUCAGCAGAUAUGUUUAUCUUUAUGUUUCCAGUAUUUUUCUGUCUAAAUUUAGUUAUCAUUCAACUUUACUUGUUGCUAGCUUCAUUUCUGCUAGGUUAUUGAGCAUAUUUUGCUUUCUCCCAAGAAGACUGCUUGCAUUUCACGAUGAUUGCACUUCCUACUUCUGAGCCUCCAUGGCUACUACACCUGGAAACUUCUGAUAUGACAAACACUUCUGACAUAUUUUCUAGUAUUGGUUUGUUGUUAAAAUAUUUUCUCCCAACAGAUUUUUCUUUAUAACUUGUUCACUAGUUUUCAUUCUCUUUAUUGCUAGAGUGUAAGUUUAGUUUAUAUUAGUUUUAGCUCAUGAGCAAUUGAGUGUCAAUUCUUUUAAUUGAUAUGUCUCUCUGUUGUACUCUUAAAAUGAUUGGUCAUAUCGAAAGAGGGUUCAUUGAGGUGCCUCUUGGAGCUACAUGGGUUCAGCAAUAAUGCGAGCUUCGGGAUUUGAUACAAUUCAGAUAUCAUUUGUUUUUCCUGUUAAUGGUGGUUUUACAAUGGAGUUGGUUGUUGCUUAGUUUUGUUCUAGUGGAAUUGGCAGCCAUGAAGUGACUAUUGUAGAUUUUGAGCUCUAUUGAACUUCUUGGCGAUCUUCUUUUCAAGGAUGCUGGAACCUUUGGAAGAGCAAUUCUUGAGCUUGGGAGUGAUGACGAAGGUCCAAGCACAGAGGCACAUAGCCUUGCAAUUAUUGAGGUCCUUGGGCAAAGAAGUCGCAAUGAAGUUCUUGCUGAAAUUUAUAUGGUUGCUGGAACCUUUGGAAAAGUAAUUCUUGAGGUUGGGAGUGAUGACGAAGGUCCAAGUACAGGGGCACAUGGAUGGCCCUGCAAUUAUUGAGGUCCCUGGGCAAAGAAGUCGCAAUGAAGUUCUUGCUGAAAUUUAUAUGGUUGCUGGAACCUUUGGAAAAGCAAUUCUUGAGCUUGGGAGUGAUGACGAAGGUCCAAGCACAGAGGCACAUGGAUGACCCUGCAAUUAUUGAGGUCCUUGGGCAAAGAAGUCGCAAUGAAGUUCUUGCUGAAAUUUAUAUGGUUGCUGGAACCUUUGGAAAAGCAAUUCUUGAGCUUGGGAGUGAUGACGAAGGUCCAAGCAUAGAGGCACAUGGAUGACCUUGCAAUUAUUGAGGUCAUUGGGCAAAGAAGUCGUAAUGAAGUUCUUACUAAAAUUUAUAUGAAGACUAUCUUCUUUUCAAGGUUGCUGGAACCUUUGGAAAAGCAAUUCUUGAGGUUGGGAGUGAUGACGAAGGUCUAAGCACAGAGGCAAAUGGAUGGCCCUGCAAUUAUUGAGGUCCUUGGACAAAGAAGUCGCAAUGAAGUUCUUGUUGAAAUUUAUAUGACUAUCUUCUUUUCAAGGUUGCUGGAACCUUUGGAAAAGCAAUUCUUGAGCUUGGGAGUGAUGACGAAGGUCCAAGCAUAGAGGCACAUGGAUGACCCUGCAAUUAUUGAGGUCCUUGGGCAAAGAAGUCACAAUGAAGUUCUUGCUGAAAUUUAUAUGACUAUCUUCUUUUCAAGGUUGCUGGAACCUUUGGAAAAACAAUUCUUGAGGUUGGGAGUGAUGACGAAGGUCCAAGCACAGGGGCACAUGGAUGACCCUGUAAUUAUUGAGUUCCUUGGGCAAAGAAGUCGCAAUGAAGUUCUUGCUUAAAUUUAUAUGACUAUCUUCUUUUCUCGGUUGCUGGAACCUUUGGAAAAGCAAUUCUUGAGGUUAGGAGUGAUGACGAAGGUCCAAGCACAGAGGCACAUGGAUGACCCUGCAAUUAUUGAGGUCCUUGGGCAAAGAAGUUGCAAUGAAAUUCUUGCUGAAAUUUAUAUGACUAUCUUCUUUUCAAGGUUGCUGGAACCUUAGGAAAAGCAAUUCUUGAGGUUGGGAGUGAUGACGAAGGUCCAAGCACAGAGGCACAUGGAUGGUCCUGCAAUUAUUGAGGUCCUUGGGCAAAGAAGUAGUGAUAUUAACUUGACUUUGCAUCAGUUAUGUGGUAUUUCUUUCUAUUGUGUUUUGUUUUCUUGUUGUCACAUUACUAUUUUGCACAAUGAAUUUAAUGUUGUUGUUGAACAUAAACGUAUCUCAUAUUUUUUAUGUUUGGCGGCACUGCAUGUAUGAAAGACUAUCUUCUUUUCAAGGUUGCUGGAACCUUAGGAAAAGCAAUUCUUGAGGUUGGGAGUGAUGACGAUGGUCCAAGCACAGAGGCACAUGGAUGGUCCUGCAAUUAUUGAGGUCCUUGGGCAAAGAAGUAGUGAUAUUAACUUGACUUUGCAUCAGUUAUGUGACUAUCUUCUUUUCAAGGUUGUAACCUUUGGAAAAGCAAUUCUUGAGCUUGGGAGUGAUGACGAAGGUCCAUGCACAGAGGCACAUGGAUGAUCCUGCAAUUAUUGAGGUUCUUGGGCAAAGAAGUCGCAAUGAAGUUCUUGCUGAAAUUUAUAUGACUAUCUUGGCAAAUACUUCCAAGACUCUCAAAGAAAUAAUGCCAGUCUUAAUGGAUACUCUGCUUUCGUCUCUCGCUUCAUCUUCAUUAGAAAGACAUCAUGUUUGUUUUCUAAAGGUAUUGAAGUAUUUAUUAUGUAUGUACUCAACUGAAUAAUCAAUGAUCCAUCAUGUUAGGUUUCUGGAAGAACACUUGGUUCUUGUUCGGAAGCUUGGGGAGAUUAUUUUGCCUUCAAUUAUUCCAAUUUUAACUCAAGGGGUUAAACACCCUGACAGUAGUAGAAGACAAGUGAGUUUAUUUUGUUUUGAUACUUGCUUGAAUGCUUUUAGAAUAUAUUUUACACCAGGUGCCUUGGCGAUGUAUA